GACGAACGCUGGCGGCGUGCUUAACACAUGCAAGUCGAACGGAAAGGCCCUGCUUUUGUGGGGUGCUCGAGUGGCGAACGGAUGAGUAACACGUGAGUAACCUGCCCUUGACUUUGGGAUAACUUCAGGAAACUGGGGCUAAUCCCGGAUAGGAGCUCCUGCUGCAUGGUGGGGGUUGGACAGUUUCGGCGGUUGGGGAUGGACUCGCGGCUUAUCAGCCUGUUGGUGGGGUAGUGGCUUACCAAGGCUUUGACGGGUAGCCGGCCUGAGCGGGUGACCGGCCACAUUGGGACUGAGAUACGCCCCAGACUCGUACGGGAGGCAGCAGUGGGGAAUAGUGCACAAUGGGCGGAAGCCUGAUGCAGUAACGCCGCGUGCGGGAUGACGGCCUUCGGGUUGUAAACCGCUUUCGCCUGGGACGAAGCGUGAGUGACGGUAAUGGGUAAAGAAGCACCGGCUAACUACGUG
rnacentral:rRNA from 1 species